AAUCAUCUAAAGAUGUCCCUAAUAGUGCUGUGUCACGUACUCCGAAAGUCAAGUCUCAGGGUCCUCAAUUAGGCCAAACUCCAUGCCAGUUUGUUCAAGAAACUAUUGAGCCAUUUUGUACAGAUUUAGUUGCAUGGUCAGAGAAUUGUGAUACAAUGAUUUGUAAUCCAUGGCCAAGAGAGGGUUCUUUUAGUGAUUUUCAUUUGCAAAUUCUGAAAGGUUAUGUGUAUUGAAGGUUAAAAAAAAUCAGGUGGAGAUCCAAAAUGGGAUAAAAAGUAUAUGCAUAAUGCAGCUACAGGAUGGUUAAAGUGUGCUCAGUUAUGGUUUGUUCCUGAUCAGACUACAAAGUAUGUUCAGGCUUCUGCAGCAUCACCUGCUUAUGUGCUUUUUGUUGUACCAAUAAAUAUCAGUUUGGAUGAAUUAAAAAAAAGAUUUUUCGGAAUAUUGAUACUGAUGAAAUUUUAAUGGCGAUUGGUAGAGGGAAAAGUCAUGUUGGAUAGAUGGUUGUGAAUCCUUCUGCAAUGGUGAGAUCCACUGCAGAAAAUGUUGAUGUUGGUAUGAAAAAAUGAGAAAGUGACUAGAAAGUCUGUGGAUGUUGGUGCAGGGAAUAAGCAAGUUGAUAGUGUUUAAGUGGUGGAUGAGGGUUAUAAGAGUCAUGGUGUACUAGUUCCCAGUCAUGUGUCUGCUUCUGCCUAUCCUUUUGUAGUUGCUGGUGAGACUGUUAUAAUUAAGCCUCCCUAUGGAUCACAUUUGGUGUCUCUUGGGACUCAGUGUCCUGAUCUGUUUAAGCUUCCAGAAGGCGUUAUUAAUUAUUUAAAAAGAGUAACAAUGGAUCAACAGUUUGGAGGGGCAGAUUUUUGUUUUUUUAUUGUCUGUUGUUUUUAAAUAUGCUGAUAUUUCACCAACAGAAAUGGCUCUUAAUUUGGACACUAAACAUGGUAGACCUGGUACUGAUGUAGGUUGGUUCUGUGUAUUUUGGGCUGAGCAAGAUUUUGUGUCAGAGUUUUGAAAUCAGUUAUUGGUUUAUUUUCCUUUGUGGUUUUGAAGUUGUACAAAUACCUAAUAGUGUAAUAGCUGCAGGUUCUUAACCUUUUGUCUCAAAGCAGGCGGAGUUGAUUGCUCUUACACAAGCUUGUAUUGCUUUUAAAGAUCAAGAUGUGACUAGUUAUACUGAUUUGAGAUAUGCCUUUGGAGUGGUUCAUGAUUUUGGUGUCAUUUGGCAGGCUAGAGGCUUUGUUGCAGCUAAUGGUCGAACUGUUUCUCAUUUUGCAUUAAUUGAUGGAUUAUUGAGGGCCAUACUGUUACCUAGAUCUUUAGCUAUUGUGAAGUGCAAGGGCCAUGAUACAGAUCACUCCAUGGUCAGAGAUGGUAAUGAUUUUGCAGAUUUGGUGGCGAAAAG